rnacentral:rRNA from 1 species
ACGAACGUUGGCGGUGUGCCUAAUACAUGCAAGUCGCGCGAGAAAGCCGGGGCAACUCGGCGAGUACAGCGGCGGAAGGGUGCGUACUACAUGGAUAACGUACCCUCCAGUGGGGGAUAACCCACCGAAAGGUGGGCUAAUACCGCAUAAUGGCGCGAGGUGGCAUCAUCUUGCGCUUAACGCAGCAAUGCGCUGGGGGAGCGGUCCAUGGCCUAUCAGCUAGUUGGCGGGGUAACGGCCCACCAAGGCGAUGACGGGUAGCCGGACUGAGAGGUUGAACGGCCACACUGGGACUGAGACACGGCCCAGACAUCUACGGAUGGCAGCAGUAGGGAAUCUUGCGCAAUGGGCGAAAGCCUGACGCAGCGACACCGCGUGGGGGACGAAGGGCUUCGGCUUGUAAACCCCUUUCAUGAGGGAAGAACACUGACCUAACCUCAGGAAGAAGCACCGGCUAACUCCGU